GACGAACGCUGGCGGCGUGCCUAAUACAUGCAAGUCGAACGCUUCUUUCCUCCCGAGUGCUUGCACUCAAUUGGAAAGAGGAGUGGCGGACGGGUGAGUAACACGUGGGUAACCUACCCAUCAGAGGGGGAUAACACUUGGAAACAGGUGCUAAUACCGCAUAACAGUUUAUGCCGCAUGGCAUAAGAGUGAAAGGCGCUUUCGGGUGUCGCUGAUGGAUGGACCCGCGGUGCAUUAGCUAGUUGGUGAGGUAACGGCUCACCAAGGCCACGAUGCAUAGCCGACCUGAGAGGGUGAUCGGCCACACUGGGACUGAGACACGGCCCAGACUCCUACGGGAGGCAGCAGUAGGGAAUCUUCGGCAAUGGACGAAAGUCUGACCGAGCAACGCCGCGUGAGUGAAGAAGGUUUUCGGAUCGUAAAACUCUGUUGUUAGAGAGGAACAAGGACGUUAGUAACUGAACGUCCCCUGACGGUAUCUAACCAGAAAGCCACGGCUAACUACGUG
rnacentral:rRNA from 1 species